rnacentral:rRNA from 1 species
GACGAACGCUGGCGGCGUGCUUAACACAUGCGAGUCGAACGGAAAGGCCCUGCUUUUGUGGGGUGCUCGAGUGGCGAACGGGUGAGUAACACGUGAGUAACCUGCCCUUGACUUUGGGAUAACUUCAGGAAACUGGGGCUAAUACCGGAUAGGAGCUCCUGCUGCAUGGUGGGGGUUGGAAAGUUUCGGCGGUUGGGGAUGGACUCGCGGCUUAUCAGCUUGUUGGUGGGGUAGUGGCUUACCAAGGCUUUGACGGGUAGCCGGCCUGAGGGGGUGACCGGCCACAUUGGGACUGAGAUACGGCCCAGACUCCUACGGGAGGCAGCAGUGGGGAAUAUUGCACAAUGGGCGGAAGCCUGAUGCAGCAACGCCGCGUGCGGGAUGACGGCCUUCGGGUUGUAAACCGCUUUCGCCUGUGACGAAGCGUGAGUGACGGUAAUGGGUAAAGAAGCACCGGCUAACUACGUG